GGAUGUGAAGGUCAUCUGGCUGCAACAUCUGUCACCCCAUUGAUCACCAGAGUUGAUUCGGCUGAUCUGGCUGGCUAGGCGGUGUCCCCUUCCUCCCUCACUGCUCCAUGUGGUCCCUCCCAAAGCUGCGCGCUCAGUCGAAGAGGAUGACCAUACGUGAUAGAGGAGGACCGUUCUUCCGUCAAGGGUAUACGAGUAGCUGCGCUCCCCUGCUAGAACCUCCAAACAAGCUCUCAAGAGGAUCGAGGUCCGAAGUCAGUCCAUACAGAGAGUUCUUGAGACCCCUGUCU
rnacentral:snRNA from 1 species